rnacentral:lncRNA from 1 species
UCAUAUUUUCAUAUCAUAAUGCUUUGCCUCUUAGUACAAAUCUUAUUCAUCAAAAGGUCUUCAUGUACGACAAGGAGAUAAUGAAUCCAAUACAUGUAUUUCCUUCACUUGUUCGACGAGUAAGGUUGCAUGCAGUAGCAAGAUUCAAAGAUGAGGAGAAAGAAAGGUAGUUUUCAUUGUGAAUCUCUCGUUUUAUGCAAUGGCAUUCGGUUUGCAAAGGCGAGCGAUCUUCAUGGUGGUGUUGCAGAAUGUGACAAGUACAAUGUCUUUUCAGACUUAUUUUCGAAUGC